CUCUCUGCCAUGGAUAUCCUACCAAAUUUGCUUCUUACUUCCAUUACUGUCGCUCACUACGUUUCGAAGAUGCACCAGACUAUCAGUACCUGAAGAGAUUGUUCAGAGACCUUUUUAUUCGGGAAGGACAUAUUGCUAAGAAUCUGCCACAUUAUGUUUGCUUGAGGUAUUAAUUUAUCCAGGUGUUUAAUGCUGGAGUACAAUUAGAAGAUCCCUAAUCAAUUGCUUCUCAUUUCAGUCGUGUAACUUUAUUCAUGCUACAACAACGACUUUGAGCGAACAUGAGACCACUGAGCUCUGGAGUGAAUGAAGGACGUCGUCUUUGGAAGUCAGACAUCACCUAGAGCUAGGGUGUCCAUUCUUGACAUGUUUCUCUUAGUGAUAGAUGGAUACUGUCUAGUUAGGAACAGAGUCUUGAGGGAUUGAUGGACGCAUGCAUCUUCAAUUCAUGUGUGUUGUAUUACUACUGGUACAAUCUCCAAUUCUUGUGAACUUUUGUAUUUGGACUUGUGUGAAUUUGUGAUAUGAACAUAUAUCCAUGUGUUUGAAAUCUUUAUUGUAUGUGAUA